AUACGUAGGUGACAAGCGUUAUCCGGAUUUACUGGGCGUAAAGGGCGUGUAGGCGGUCUUGCAAGUCAGAAGUGAAAUUCCUGAGCUCAACUCGGGCGCUGCUUCUGAAACUGCAGGACUUGAGUGCUGGAGGGGAUAGCGGAAUUCCUAGUGGAGCGGUAAAAUGCGUAGAUAUUCGGAGGAACACCGGUGGCGAAGGCGGCCUACUGGGCUUUAACUGACGCUGAGGCUCGAAAGUGUGGGGAGCAAACAGUAUUAGAUACCCUGGUAGUCCACACUGUAAACGAUGAUUGCUAGGUGUGGGGGGUCUGACCCCUUCCGUGCCGCAGUUAACGCAAUAAGCAAUCCACCUGGGGAGUACGGCCGCAAGGCUAAAACUCAAAUGAAUUGACGGGG
rnacentral:rRNA from 1 species